UCUGGUUCUCUCCCCAUUGCAACUCGGUUGAUUUAGAAAUAAAAACUAAUUCAUCUUUACCUUUUCCAUAGUGAAACUGAAACCUCUAGUUUAAAGGACUGGGAUUUUAUCACGAUGAAGUUAACUUCUUUCUCGUUCCUGUUGAUCCUGAAUUUUCAUCAUUCUGUCGUCGCAGAAACUGUGCUGACCCUAACAACCGGAGAAAAGCAACACUGCCUCUUCUUGCCCCCAAGUCCAAAUGCCCAUCCGUUGAUUAGAAUUAA